rnacentral:piRNA from 1 species
UGAUCUUUAACUGAAGUGCAGCAUACAA